CCGGUUGAUCCUGCCGGACCCCACUGCUAUCGGGAUGGGACUAAGACAUGCUAGUCGUGCGCCUCCAAGCCACGGUGGAGGCGCGGCGCACAGCUCAGUAACACGUGGCUAACCUACCCUUGGGACGGAAAUAACCCCGGGAAACUGGGGCUAAUUUCCGAUAGGUGAAGACUCCUGGAAUGGGUCUUCGCCCAAAGGGCGUUUAGACCAUGCUUCUAAGCGCCGCCCAAGGAUGGGGCCGCGGCCGAUCAGGUUGUUGGUGAGGUAACGGCUCACCAAGCCUAUAACCGGUACGGGCCGUGGGAGCGGGAGCCCGGAGAUGGGCACUGAGACAAGGGCCCAGGCCCUACGGGGCGCAGCAGUCGCGAAAACUCCGCAAUACACGAAAGUGUGACGGGGCCAUCCCGAGUGCCAUCCGCUGAGGAUGGCUUUUCCCCAGUGUAGACAGCUGGGGGAAUAAGGAGAGGGCAAGUCGGGUGUCAGCCGCCGCGGUAAUACCCGCUCUCCGAGUGGUGGGGACGCUUAUUGGGCCUAAAGCAUCCGUAGCCGGUUGGAUAAGUCCCCUGUUAAAUCCAGCGAUUCAAUCGCUGGACUGCGGGGGAUACUGUCCAGCUAGGGGGCGGGAGAGGCCGACGGUAUUCCCGGGGUAGGGGUGAAAUCCUAUAAUCCCGGGAGGACCACCAGUGGCGAAGGCUGUCGGCUAGAACGCGCCCGACGGUGAGGGAUGAAAGCUGGGGGAGCGAACCGGAUUAGAUACCCGGGUAGUCCCAGCUGUAAACGAUGCAGGCUAGGUGUUCGGGCGGCUACGUGCCGCUCGAGUGCCGCAGGGAAACCGUUAAGCCUGCCGCCUGGGGAGUACGGCCGC
rnacentral:rRNA from 1 species